UACGUAGGACCCAAGCGUUAUCCGGAAUUACUGGGCGUAAAGAGUUGCGUAGGUGGCAAUGUAAGUAGAUAGUGAAAUCGUGUGGCUCAACCAUACAAACAUUAUCUAAACUGCAUAGCUUAGAGUGUAGGAGAGGUACCUGGAAUUUCUAGUGUAGGAGUGAAAUCCGUAGAUAUUAGAAGGAACACCGAUGGCGUAAGCAGGGUACUGGCCUAUUACUGACACUAAGGCACGAAAGCGUGGGGAGCGAACGGG
rnacentral:rRNA from 1 species